GAUGAACGUUAGCGGCAGGCCUAAUACAUGCGAGUCGAGGGGUAGAAGAGGCUUGCUUCUUUGAGACCGGCGCACGGGUGCGUAACGCGUAUGCAACCUACCUUCAUCUGGGGGAUAGCCCGGAGAAAUCCGGAUUAAUACCGCAUAAAAUCACAGGAUGGCAUUAUCCAAUGAUCAAACAUUUAUGGGAUUGAGAUGGGCAUGCGUGUCAUUAGCUAGUUGGCGGGUUAACGGCCCACCAAGGCGACGGUGACUCGGGGAUCUGAGAGGAUGGCCCCCCACCCUGGAACUGAGACACGGACCAGACUCCUGCGGGAGGCAGCAGUAAGGAAUAUUGGUCAAUGGAGGCAACUCUGAACCAGCCAUGCCGCGUGCAGGAGAACUGCCCUAUGGGUUGUAAACUGCUUUUAUUCGGGAAUAAACCUUAUUACGUGUAAUAAGCUGAAUGUACCGAAGGAAUAAGGAUCGGCUAACUCCGUGCCAGCAGCCGCCGUAA
rnacentral:rRNA from 1 species